UCAUUUUUAAACUCUCCAUUGUUAACGUAGUAAGGCGUACUAAGUAAGCAAUAUAUGUAAUUGUAUUUUCUAAAACAAUUUAAUGAGUAUGCUUCAUUGUCAUAUGUUAAAGGCGCCCACCAGAGGGCAAUGCCGCCCCUAUUUCAACGUCAUGUUUGCCCUAGAACGGAAAUGCUUGUUUAGGUUCGACUUCCAAAGAAUGACGUAGGCUACUUAUACAUAUUCACGAAUUGGGGUGGGGAAAGAACAUCAUGGUGAUUUCCACGUGGAGUGGAGAAACGUCAACAAAUAGGGAACUGACAGCUUAGCUAGCUAUCCUCCUAAACGUAUCUAGCUAGCCAAUAUUGUCUAUUGUUUUAGUUUUUAAUUUUUUUUACUACACCGUAUUAAAAAGAUUAGCCAUCUGUCUAGGCUGGUUCUGGAGCUGGAUUUGUCAUAAGCAUUUAGGGAAAACGUUGCCAUAGAUGGAAACCAAACCAGUAUAUUUAGCUUUGCCAUUUAUUGUUAUCUUCAAAGUAUUGACAUUGUAAUGGACAAGGCGCAACCUUUGGUAGGUAGGCUGCUGGCAGGCUUUUCUGCAGUACAGCAAAGUCAGCCCGUGUCCAGGGUUCUCUGGGUUCUCAAAUGGGAAGUGAAAUGAUAGGCAAACAAUAACUUUUCUCAUGAUACACUUUGCAAAGGACGUGAAAACACCCUGAGCGCAUCGUUCACCAAACUCAAAUGUAACAGCAAAAUAAAAUAAAUAAAGAGGUUCCUUUUAAUAUUAUUUUUGCAGGUACCUGUUCAUUAUAGAAGAGAGGCCUAUCAUUUCACACUUUGGUUUAGUUGCACCAAUCAGAGCAGUGAGGCAUGACUUUAGUGGUCAAAACCAUUCCCUAGCUGAAGGCAGAACAGUUGAAACUGGAGCAGCAGCACACCCAGGUGGACUGGGGACAGCCGGGAGUCAUCAGGCCAGGUAGUCCUGAGGCAUGAUCCUAGGGCUCAGGUCCUCCGGGAGGAGACAGAGAGAAUUAGAGGGAGCAUACUUAAAUUCACACAGGACACCUGAUAAGACAGGAGAAUUACACCAGAUAUAACAGACUGACCCUAGCCCUCCGGCAAAUAGACUAUUGCAGCAUAGAUACUGGAGACUGGGACCAGGGGUGGGUCGGGGGACACUGGCCCCGUCCGACGAUACCCCCGGACAGGGCCAACCAGGCAGGAUAUAACCCCACCCACUUUGCCAAAGCACAAGCCCCCACACCACUAGCACUAGAGGGAUAUCAACAGACCACAAACUUACUACCCUGAGACAAGGCUGAGUAAAGCCCACCCUGAUCUCCUCCACUGCACGAGCCCAAGGGGGGAGGGCAAAACCGGACAGGAAGAUCAUGUCUGUGACUCAGCCCACUCAAGUGACGCACCCCUCCGGCAUGGAAGAGCACUAGUAAGCCAGUGAGUGACUCAGCAGGCCAGGCUUAGACAGCAAGGGUAGUUCGUCGCUCCAGUGCCUUGCUGUUCACCUUGCACCCCUGGGCCAGACUACACUCAAUCAUAGGACCUACUAAAGAGAUGAGUCUUCAGUAAAGACUUAAUGGUUGAGACCGAGUCUGUGUCUUUCACAUGGAUAGGCAGACCAUUCCAGAAAUUUGGAGCUCUAUAGGAGAAAGCCCUGCCUCCAGCUGUUUGCUUAGAAAUGUUUUGCUUCUGGUCAGGAUUCUAGCAGCCGUGUUUAGCACGAACUGAUUUUUUUUGGUGCUUUAUCUGGGUAGCCGAAGAGUAGAGCAUUGCAGUAGUCUAAUCUAGAAGUGACAAAAGCAUGGAUUUGCUUUUCUGCAUCAUUUUUGGACAAAAGUUUAGAAUUUUUUGCAAUGUUACGAAAUUUGAAAAAAGCUGUCAAUGAAAUAUUGAUAUGUUCGUCAAUAGAGAAAUCAUUGUCCAGAGUAACACCGAGGGCUUUCACAGUUUUUUUGAGAUGACUGUACAACCAUCAAGAUUAAUUGUCCUAUCCAACAGCAGAUCUCUCUUGUUUCUUGGAACCUAGAACUAGCAUCUCUGUUUAAACUCGGACAAAACAGAUACUAUUUCCAGGUCCCACGAAACAAAGAGAUCUGCUGUUGGAUCUGACAAUUAAUCUUGAUUAGGAAUGCACCGAUAUGACAUUUUUGGCUUAAACCGAUAUAUCCAAUAUUUUCCUUGCCAAAAAAACACAUACCGAUGUUUACUGUUUUAGUGGCCUUUUAAGCAUUCGAGUACAGUUAAAUAGUUGAAACAUAUACACACACACACGCACACUGACCAAACAGUUAUUUUGUUGGCAUUUACGUAUGUCCCCAUUACCAGUAAAACAUCAUCUAAUCCUAUUUACUGUACUUACUUGCUGUUUCGCUGUUCAUUUGUUCAUUCUCAACCAGGAUUUCAUCAUACAUAUGAAGCAGUGAAGUUUCAGCUCUGUCUGUCUGUGGUCUCUCUUCCUCAGUGCACACUGUCACUGUGUCUGUUUCCAUCUUGUCCAGAUGUGUAGGUAACAUUUACCGUAAACCCAGUUUCUUGUCUGCAUCAAUGUAGCGGUCCUUGUACCUAGCAUCAAACAUGAUGGCGACACAGUAGAAGCUCAGAAAGAAUGUCACUGAAUUGCUUGUUCACGGCCUCUAGUAGAGUACUUUUCCAAAUUAACUUCCGACAUGGACAGUGGGGUUUUGUUGAGCAGGUGUUUCAAUACCAUGACAGAGGGUAUCACGUCUGCUGCAGAUGCAGUUGAUGAGCUUAUUUCUCGAGCCAGUUGUCAGCCCCAUGAGCAUGCUGACAUCACUGGUCCAAAUGUCAGUCGUGAAGCUAAUAGCAGUGUAGCUCACGGAUGUGCGUUUCAAGAAUACUAUUGUAACUCCGGUAGGGCAACAUCUGAAAAAUAGCGCCUACUUGGCAGUGUGUACCGGGGCUCGAGGUGCUCGACCAGUCAGCGAAAGCCAACAUCAUCCAUGUCAGAGAAUGGCUGAUUGUGAAGGGCAAUGAAUUCUAUUGUCUUGGCGAUAAUGGAUUUCAACUUUGAGUUGUCUCGCUGAAAUUUUCUUACUCUUUCAAAUGACUGUUGGACUUGUUGACUGCUCGAUCCACACAGCAGAAAUUGUGGACUAGGUUAGGAAUGCUGUGUUGCACGUGUAGAGCUAUAUUUUUUGUGGCAUCAUUACGUCAUCUACCUAGGUAUGCACGUCACCUUUGACAUCGGCGUUAAACUAGACAUUGGGCCCAUGCUGAUGUUGGCAUUUUCAGCUAAUAUCGGCCAAUUCUGAUAUGCUUAUCGAUAUAUCGUGCAUCCCUAAUCUUGAUGGUUGUACAGUUCUCUCAAACAAUGAAUUAUUGAAUUCAAUUGUUAUGCAACAUUGUGGGUAAUCACUGGGGAUCGUCUUUCAGUAAAAAAAGUGAAUGUCUGCUUGUGGUACAUUCAUUAUUUUAUAUUACACCAAUUUGCCCAAUGUGGACAGUUACUACAUUACACAAGCUCACAUUUUUACCACAUAAAAUGUUGUGGAAUUACACAAUAUUUUGCUUCUUUAUAAAAGUUUAUAGUCAUCACAAGUAUAUUGAAUUGAUUGCUUUAAACAGAUUCAUACAGUUGAAGUCGGGUAGUUUACAUACAUCUUAGCCAAAUACAUUUAAACUCAGUUUUUCACAAUUCCUGACAUUUAAUCCUAGUAAAAAUUCCCUUUCUUAAGUCAGAUAGGAUCACCACUUUAUUUUAAUAAUGUGAAAUGUCUGAAUAAUAGUAGGGAGAAUGAUUUAUUUCAGUUUAUUUUCUUUCAUCACAUUCCCAGUGGGUCAGAAGUUUACAUCCACUCAAUUAGUAUUUGGUAGGAUUGCCUUUAAAUUGUUUAACUUGGGUCAAACGUUUAGGGUAGCCUUCCACAAGCUUCCCACAAUAAGUUGGGUGAAUUUUGGCCCAUUCCUCCUGACAGAGCUGGUGUAACUGAAUCAGGUUUGUAGGCCUUCUUGCUCACACACGCUUUGUCAGUUCUGCCCCCAAAUGUUAUAUGGGAUUGAGGUCAGGGCUUUGUGAUGGCCACUCCAAUAUCUUGACUUUGUUGUCAUUAAGCAAUUUUGCCACAACUUUGGAAGUAUGCUUGGGGUCAUUGUCCAUUUGGAAGACCCAUUUGCGACCAAGCUUUAACUUCCUGACUAGAGGUCGACCGAUUAUGAUUUUUCAAUACCAUUACCGAUUAUUGGAGGACCAAAAAAGCAGAUACCGAUUAAUUGGGCAAUUUUUAAUUUUUUUAUUAUUAUUAUUUUUUACAUUUGUAAUAAUGACAAUUACAACAAUACUAAAUGAGCACUUAUUUUAACUUAAUAUAAUACAUCAAUAAAAUCAAUUUAGCCUCAAGUAAAUAAUGAAACAUGUUCAAUUUGGUUUAAAUAAUGCAAAACAAAGUGUUGGAGAAGAAAGUAAAAGUGCAAUAUGUGCCAUGUAAGAAAGCUAACGUUUCAGUUCAUUGCUCAGAACAUGAGAACAUAUGAAAGCUGGUGGUUCCUUUUAACAUGAUUCUUCAAUAUUCCCAGGUUAGAAGUUUUAGGUUGUAGUUAUUAUUGGAAUUCUAGGACUAUUUCCCUCUAUACCAUUUGUAUUUCAUUAACCUUUGACUAUUUGAUGUUCUUAUAGGCACGUUAGUAUUGCCAGUGUAACAGUAUAGCUUCCGUCCCUCUCCUGGCUCGAACCAGCAACACAACGACAACAGCCACCCUCGAAGCAGCGUUACCCAUGCAGAGCAAGGGGAACAACGACUAGAAGGCUCAGAGCGAGCGAUGUUUGAAACGCUAUUAGCGCGCGCUAACUAGCUAGCCAUUUCUCUUCGGUUACACCAGCCUCAUCUCGGGAGUUGAUAGGCUUGAAGUCAUAAACAGUGCAAUGCUUGACGCACAACGAAGAGCUGCUGGCAAAACGCACGAAAGUGCUGUUUGAAUGAAUGUUUACACGCCUGCUUCUGCCUACCACCGCUCAGUCAGAUACUAAGAUACUUGUAUGCACUUAUGCUCAGUCAGAUUAUAUGCAAUGCAGGACACGCUAGAUAAUAUCUAGUAAUAUCAUCAACCAUGUGUAGUUAACUAGUGAUUAUGAUUGAUUGUUUUUUAUAAGAUAAGUUUAAUGCUAGCUAGCAAUUUACCUUGGCUUACUGCAUUCGCAUAACAGGCAGUCUCCUUGUGGAGUGCAACGAGAGAGAGGCAGGUCGUUAUUGCAUUGGACUAGUUAACUGUAAGGUUGCAAGAUUUCUCCAAAAAGUAUGAUCUUUGUGCAGUUGCAAACCGUAGUCUGGCUUUUUUAUGGUGGUUUUGGAGCAGUGGCUUCUUCCUUGCUGAGCAACCUUUCAGGUUAUGUUGAUAUAGGACUCGUUUUACUGUGGAUAUAGAUACUUUUGUACCUGUUUCCUCCAGAAUCUUCACAAGGUCCUUUGCUGUUGUUCUGAGAUUGAUUUGCACUUUUCGCACCAAAGUACAUUCAUCUCUAGGAGACAGAACGUUUCUCCAUGCGUAGUCCCAUGGUGUUUAUACUAGCGUACUAUUGUUUGUACAGAUGAACGUGGUACCUUCAGGCGUUUGGAAAUUGCUCCCAAGGAUGAACCAGACUUGUGGAGGUCGAAAAGCACAGUUAACUUAGUGUAUGUAAACUUCUGACCCACUGGAAUUGUGAUACAGUGAGUUAUAAGUUAAAUAAUAUGUCUGUAAACAAUUGUUGGGGAAAAAAUGACUUGUCAUGCACGAAGUAGAUGUCCUAACCGACUUGCCAAAACUAUUGUUUGUUAACAAGAAAUGGGUGGAGUGGUUGAAAAAUGAGUUUUAAUGACUCCAACCUAAGUGUAUGUAAACUUCCCACUUCAACUGUAUAUUUGGCUUGGUACUGUUGAUUUUGUAUGCAUCUGUCCGUCGCAGGACUAUGAACGCCGUUAUAAUUUGAAUGCUUGAAAUGGCACAGAAAACUUGGGGCACUCUCUGUAUAAAAGCCGAUAGCCGCACGCCAAUACACCGAUUUGAGGGUCAAACUAUCACCUGAAUAACAGCCAGCCCUAGUCAGUGUUGAUAUCCUGUGCCGGGUCGUAAUUCGUUGAAGUUAAGUAACAAAGCAACUGACUUGUUUCUGGCCCGUUUCGGCAGCCUCCCAGAAUCUCCAUCUAGAUGACUGUUCAACAAAUUCUCUUCUAACCAGUGAUGUAAAAAUGAGUGUUAAUGAGUGGUAAUCUCUUUCAUGGAUAUCAUAUUGAAAUCAAUGUAACAGGAGGCAAAGGUUUUGGGUGUAUGCUCCACCGGCGGGCCACCCAUUAAGGGCGGUGCCCCACUUGUGAUUGGUCACCAAAUAUUUGUCAUAAAACAUUAGCAGUCUAAUCCAUUUGCUUUUGUCUUGUUUGUUAGUUUUUGUUCUAAAUGUCGAUCUUUUCUCGCACAUCCCUCUCCUUUUUCCUGCCUGACUCCCUCCUUCCCUUUUGAAACGGCCUAUGUGGUAUCGAUAUGAGUCAGACAUUUAUUCUAGCGCCCGGGAGGCCCGGUUCUGAAAUGAAUGCAAUCACUUUUCACCCGGGUCAAACUCCUCCCACCGGGGUAACCUGGGCCAGAUAAAUGAAUCUCCUCAUCGGAUGGGGCGCUGUUAUUUCAUCGCCACCAGACCGUUCAAAUCAAAGGAUCACAGCCGUUUGAGACUGAAAAACCAAGUGCACAGUUGGGUGCCAAACUGAUCCCCUGGUCAUGAACGGAUGCCGGGACCUACCAAAAGGAGCAAAAAACAUGUAUGGAGCCAGCACAUGGAGACUUGCAAGAUGAUGCGAUGAAGUCCAGACGGGCUUGAUCCUGAUGUGUAUGAACGGAGAUAAAACUGGCACUCGGCAUAAACAUUUUACUAGACACAA